GCUCACGUGGCGGAAUUGGUAGACGCGCUACCUUGAGGGGGUAGUGUCCUACGGAUGUGCUGGUUCGACUCCAGUCGUGAGCA
rnacentral:tRNA from 1 species